rnacentral:SRP_RNA from 1 species
GCCAGGCGCAGUGGCACGUGCCUGUAGUCCCAGCUACCUGGGAGGCUGAGGUGGGAGGAUCUCUUGAGCCCAGGAGUUCUGGGCUGUAGUGCACUAUGCCGAUCAGGUGUCUGAUCAAUACGGUGACCUCCCGGGAUCAGGGAACCAUCAGGUUGCCUAAGGAGGGGUGAACGGGCCCAGGUCAGAAAAGGAGCAGUUCAAAACUUCCGGGCUGAUCAGUAGUGGGAUCGCACCUGUGAAUAGCCAGUGCACUCCAGCCUGGGCAACAUAGCAAGACCCCAUCUCU